AGCUCUGGGGUGUUACCACAUUAGAUUGCAAAUCUAAAGACGCAGAAUAAUAUCUGCCGGGGCUU
rnacentral:tRNA from 1 species